GAGCUGCUAGAAGCAAAUUACACACGUCACAUGUCUUCUUGGUUAACUUAACUUUUGUUGAACAAUUAUUGUACUUGUUUACAUAAGUCAAUCUUGUAAUGACAAUUCUAGCUGGAUAAAACAAAGAACAACCUUCGUAGAAAAAGUGUAAAAUACUUAGAUCUAAGUGAAAAAAUAUCACAACCUAUUACAAGAAAACUCAAUGUUGCAACAUGUAUACCAAUUCAUAUGCCAUCGUCACACUUCAUAUGGCUUCAAGCCGUGACCAUAACCCAAGUGUUUCUUGCGCAGAGACUGAAAAACACAAAAAUGCACAAGUGAAAAACACAAUUUUACCAAAAUAUAAGCAUGCACUGCCACAUGAAUGUCUUUUUUGAAGAUAAAAAUUACAUUGAAAAGUUAUCUCAUUCUAAUAAUAUUUAGGGGUCGUUUGGUUUGAAUUCAAGUUAUGAUGGGAUUAAUUAUGAUGGGAUAAGUUAUGAUAAGAUUAUUUUUUUAUUGAGUGUUUGAUUUGUUGUAUUCAAAAUAUUUUAACAAUUUAUUUUUUUACAAAAAUGCCCUUCAUGAAUAUAAAAAGUAAUGUAUAAAAAGGGUUGAUAGAGACAUUUUUGUCAUUUACUUAUUUUAUCUUUAAUCCCUGGUAUUAUACUUCACACCAAAUGACCCCUCAAGUUAUUGAUCUAGAAAUAAAGAAAAAAUAAGCAAAUGAGAUUUCGAAGAAAGCAAAAAUUAUUUAUGCAUUACUAUAUUAUAAAUUUAUUCAGCUAGAUAAAUGGCUAAUCAAUGAAAAAACUUAUGAAACAUGUAUAUCUAGAAAAAUUAUUCUCCGAAAAGAGGCAGAGAUUGAGCAAGAGAGAAGAAUUACCGUCUCUCAACAACCUUAGACUCUUCUGAUGUUUUACUCUCAGAAUUCUUCUUUGUACUCUUAUUUAAGUAAAUCUUCUCAUUAGAAUCAUCACCAAUUGUCAUGCAAAUGAUAGGCAACAAUUACAAUUUUUCAUGUUCAAAGUGAAAAUUCAAUUUCCUUCUUUUCUUCUAACACAUAACGCCAAAGAAAAAUAAGUUGCAUAGCAUGUGGAUCUAGUAACAAUUGUUAUAUCAUUAUUUUAACAGAGUUAUACUUUGAACAAUAUUAUCGAAAUACCCACAUCGCUUAGAGCUAGCAUAUUUGUAUUCCGUAUCUUCCUUACAAGCUCAUUUGCAGUGAUAAUAAAAGAUUAGAUGUAACCAGAUAUCAGUGUUUACACUGGAUAUCGAAUCACAUGAAAUCUUCUUACAGAAAGAAGUAGAGUUUCCAAGAAAUGCACAGCAAGUCAUAGGAAGAGUAGCAUUUGCAAGUCCGACUCAAACUGAAGUAAACAGACUUUAAAAAGGCUGAAAAUCACAAGUUUUUCUUAUUUCAGUCGGAAACACUUACUUUGAGGAAAUGCAUGAGAG
rnacentral:lncRNA from 1 species